CGGGGUGAGUAAUGUCUGGGAAACUGCCUGAUGGAGGGGGGAAACUACUGGAAACGGUAGCUAAUACCGCAUAACGUCUUCGGACCAAAGUGGGGGACCUUCGGGCCUCACGCCAUCGGAUGUGCCCAGAUGGGAUUAGCAGUAGGUGGGGUAAUGGCUCACCUAGGCGACGAUCCCUAGCUGGUCUGAGAGGAUGACCAGCCACACUGGAACUGAGACACGGUCCAG
rnacentral:rRNA from 1 species